GGGCUCACACAAGCGGUGGAGGAUGUGGCUUAAUUCGAGGAUACGCGAAGAACCUUACCUAGACUUAACAUGCUUGGGAACGUCUGUGAAAGCAGAAAGUGCCUUUCGGGGAGCCCUUGCGUAGGUGCUGCAUGGCUGUCGUCAGCUCGUGUCGUGAGAUGUCGGGUUAAGUCCCUUAACGAGCGAAACCCUUGUCCUUAGUUGCCAGCGAGUAAUGUCGGGGACUCUAAGGAGACUGCCGGUGUUAAACCGGGGGAAGGUGGGGAUGACGUCAAGUCCUCAUGGCCUUUAUGUCUAGGGCUGCACACGUCCUACAAUGCACUAUACAAAGCGACGCAAAAUCGUGAGAUCGAGCAAACCGCAUAAAGUAGUGCCCAGUUCGGAUUGCAGGCUGAAAUUCGCCUGCAUGAAGCCGGAAUCGCUAGUAA
rnacentral:rRNA from 1 species